AUUGAACGCUGGCGGCAGGCCUAACACAUGCAAGUCGAACGAGUGGCGGACGGGUGAGUAAUGUCUGGGCAACUGCCCGAUGGAGGGGGUUAAUUACUGGAAACGGUACCCAAUACCGCAUACCAUCGGAUGUGCCCAGAUGGGUUUAGCUAGUAGGUGGGGUAAAGGCUCACCUAGGCGACGAUCCCUAGCUGGUCUGAGAGGAUGAACAGUCAUACUGGAACUGAGAAACGGUCCAGACUCCUACGGGAGGCAGCAGUGGGGAAUAUUGCACAAUGGGCGCAAGCCUGAGACAGCCAUGCCGCGUGUAUGAAGAAGGCCGUCGGGUUGUAAAGUACUUUAAGCGAGGAGGCGUUACUCGCAGAAGAAGCACCGGCUAACUCCGUGCCAGCAGCCGCGGUAAUAC
rnacentral:rRNA from 1 species